GCUUUAGCAGCUGCCAGUACAUGAAAGUAUGUAAGAAGUUGCGUUGCCACGAGAUCAAAGAGAUGAUUAGAAUGAAGCCAAGUCCAAUCUCAGCCUGUGAAGAUAGGAUGUUGAGAGUAGUUGAAUUUGACUCCACCCAUACGCAAGGCUCUUCCAAAUAUUUCCUGUAUAAAGAUGACCGUGCAAAAUUACGCCUAAGAAACUUUGCAACAUGUUCAAGAGCCCGACAUAGGAUAGGAAUUAAGGCAAAUUUAAGACAAAUAUUUGAAGUCACAAAGGUGAUACAGUAAGUGAAGUAAAUGAAAUCCUUUGUUGCAAUUAUGGACUGGAAAUAAGCUUGCAGUGCUUGCAAAUUCCACGCCCUGGGCUUUCCAUACAAUGAGUACAAAGAAUAUAAAGAAGAACAAGUUGUGCCCAUAAAAGAUAGCCUGUAUGCUCUCUGUGAAAGAUUU
rnacentral:misc_RNA from 1 species